rnacentral:rRNA from 1 species
ACCCGCUGAACUUAAGCAUAUCAAUAAGCGGAGGAAAAGAAACUAACAAGGAUUCCCCUAGUAACUGCGAGUGAAGCGGGAAAAGCUCAAAUUUAAAAUCUGGCUGCCUCCGGUGGUCCGAGUUGUAAUCUGGAGAAGCGUUUUCCGCGUCGGACCGUGUACAAGUCUUCUGGAACGGAGCGUCAUAGAGGGUGAGAAUCCCGUCUCUGACACGGACUACCGAUGCUUUUGUGAUGCGCUCUCGAAGAGUCGAGUUGUUUGGGAAUGCAGCUCAAAAUGGGAGGUAAAUUCCUUCUAAAGCUAAAUAUUGGCUAGAGACCGAUAGCGAACAAGUACCGUGAGGGAAAGAUGAAAAGCACUUUGGAAAGAGAGUUAAACAGUACGUGAAAUUGUUGAAAGGGAAACGCUUGAAGUCAGUCGCGUUGUCCGAGACUCAGCCUGGCUUGCCUGGUGUACUUCUCGGUUGACGGGUCAGCAUCAGUUUUGACCGCCGGAUAAAGGUUGGAGGAAUGUGGCAUCCCUCGGGUUGUGUUAUAGCCUCUGAUUCGCAUACGGCGAUUGGGACUGAGGAACUCAGCACGCCUUUAUGGUCGGGGUUCGCCCACGUAACGUGCUUAGGAUGCUGGCAUAAUGGCUUUAAGCGACCCGUCUUGAAACACGG